AUCCUCUGCUCUGCCGUUCUUCCCCUCGCUCGGUUCUGUUCUGUUCUGUUCUGUUCUCUCUUUGUACUACCGUUGAUCAUCUUUAACUGUGUACUCUCUCUGCUUCAUUGAACAUGAUGAAAGUAAUGUGUGGGUGAUGAUCUUCAAUUCAUAUUUCUCUCGGUCGAUGUUGUCGUUCUCACCAAGAUGAUGAAAUGGAAAAUCUUAGGACACCUUCUGACACGGCACGACGUUGCCGUGUAUGAGAAAAGCAAAUUUCCUGAUUCUGAUUGGU